UACCAGCACCCCGAGUGGUCGGGACGAUUAUUGGGCCUAAAGCAUCCGUAGCCGGUCCUGCAAGUCUUCCGUUAAAUCCAGCUGCUCAACAGAUGGGCUGCGGGAGAUACUACAGGGCUAGGAGGCGGGAGAGGCAAGCGGUACUUUAUGGGUAGGGGUAAAAUCCGCUGAUCCAUAGAAGACCACCAGUGGCGAAGGCGGCUUGCCAGAACGCGCUCGACGGUGAGGGAUGAAAGCUGGGGGAGCAAGCCGG
rnacentral:rRNA from 1 species